rnacentral:rRNA from 1 species
ACGUAGGGUGCGAGCGUUAAUCGGAAUUACUGGGCGUAAAGCGUGCGCAGGCGGUUCGUUGUGUCGGCGGUGAAAGCCCCGGGCUCAACCUGGGAAUGGCCGUUGAAACUGGUGAACUGGAGUGUGGCAGAGGCAGGUGGAAUUCCGGGUGUAGCGGUGGAAUGCGUAGAGAUCCGGAAGAACACCGGUGGCGAAGGCGGCCUGCUGGGCAGUGGCUGACGCUGAGGCGCGACAGCGUGGGGAGCAAACAGGA